rnacentral:rRNA from 1 species
GACGAACGCUGGCGGCGUGCUUAACACAUGCAAGUCGAACGGAAAGGCCCUGCUUUUGUGGGGUGCUCGAGUGGCGAACGGGUGAGUAACACGUGAGUAACCUGCCCUUGACUUUGGGAUAACUUCAGGAAACUGGGGCUAAUACCGGAUAGGAGCUCCUGCUGCAUGGUGGGGGUUGGAAAGUUUCGGCGGUUGGGGAUGGACUCGCGGCUUAUCAGCUUGUUGGUGGGGUAGUGGCUUACCAAGGCUUUGACGGGUAGCCGGCCUGAGAGGGUGACCGGCGACAUUGGGACUGCGAUACGGCCCAGACUCCUACGGGAGGCAGCAGUGGGGAAUAUUGCACAAUGGGCGGAAGCCUGAUGCAGCAACGCCGCGUGCGGGAUGCCGGCCUUCGGGUUGUAAACCGCUUUCGCCUGUGACGAAGCGUGAGUGACGGUAAUGGGUAAAGAAGCACCGGCUAACUACGUG